rnacentral:rRNA from 1 species
UGCCAGCAGCCGCGGUAAUACGGAGGGUGCGAGCGUUAAUCGGAAUCACUGGGCGUAAAGCGUGCGUAGGCGGCGUGGCAAGUCAGACGUGAAAGCCCUCGGCUCAACCGAGGAAUUGCGUUUGAAACUGCCAUGCUAGAGUCUCGGAGAGGUUAGGGGAAUUCCAGGUGUAGGAGUGAAAUCCGUAGAUAUCUGGAGGAACACCGGUGGCGAAGGCGCCUAACUGGACGAGUACUGACGCUGAGGUACGAAAGCGUGGGGAGCAAACAGGAUUAGAAACCCCCGUAGUCC